ACGCUCGACACCUACGGGAGGCGGCAGUGGGGAAUAUUGCACAAUGGGGGAAACCCUGAUGCAGCGACGCCGCGUGAAGGAAGAAGUAUCUCGGUAUGUAAACUUCUAUCAGCAGGGAAGAAAAUGACGGUACCUGACUAAGAAGCCCCGGCUAACUACGUGCCCGCAGCCGCGGUAAUCUGAGCGGGCUGGCAAGGC
rnacentral:rRNA from 1 species